rnacentral:rRNA from 1 species
GAUGAACGCUGGCGGCGUGCUUAACACAUGCAAGUCGAACGAGAAAUGGAGACGGACACCUUCGGGCGGAAGGCUUCAUUUCGAGUGGCGGACGGGUGAGUAACGCGUGGGUAACCUGCCUCAUACAGGGGAUAACAGUUGGAAACGACUGUUAAUACCGCAUAAGACCACAGCACCGCAUGGUGCGGGGGUAAAAACUCCGGUGGUAUGAGAUGGACCCGCGUUCGAUUAGCCAGUUGGCGGGGUAACGGCCCACCAAAGCGACGAUCGAUAGCCGAUCUGAGAGGAUGACCGGCCACAUUGGGACUGAGACACGGCCCAAACUCCUACGGGAGGCAGCAGUGGGGAAUAUUGCACAAUGGGGGAAACCCUGAUGCAGCGACGCCGCGUGAGUGAAGAAGUACUUCGGUAUGUAAAGCUCUAUCAGCAGGGAAGAAAAUGACGGUACCUGAGUAAGAAGCCCCGGCUAACUACGUG